UACGUAGGGUGCAAGCGUUAAUCGGAAUUACUGGGCGUAAAGCGUGCGCAGGCGGUUAUAUAAGACAGAUGUGAAAUCCCCGGGCUCAACCUGGGAACUGCAUUUGUGACUGUAUAGCUAGAGUACGGUAGAGGGGGAUGGAAUUCCGCGUGUAGCAGUGAAAUGCGUAGAUAUGCGGAGGAACACCGAUGGCGAAGGCAAUCACCUGGACCUGUACUGACGCUCAUGCACGAAAGCGUGGGGAGCAAACAGG
rnacentral:rRNA from 1 species